rnacentral:rRNA from 1 species
UACGGAGGGUGCAAGCGUUAUCCGGAUUCACUGGGUUUAAAGGGUGCGUAGGCGGGCAGGUAAGUCAGUGGUGAAAUCUCCGAGCUUAACUCGGAAACUGCCGUUGAUACUAUUUGUCUUGAAUAUUGUGGAGGUAAGCGGAAUAUGUCAUGUAGCGGUGAAAUGCUUAGAUAUGACAUAGAACACCAAUUGCGAAGGCAGCUUACUACACAGCGAUUGACGCUGAGGCACGAAAGCGUGGGGAUCAAACAGG